GGAUGACUGGCCGCAGGCGGCCGGGCGGGCUGUAACCCGCCGCUGAACUAGCGCUUCUGUGUCCAGAGGCUUCGGCCUGGCCGCCGUCGCCUGUAAGCUACGAGGAGGAGAUUUACGACUUGGCCGGGCGCAGCAAAGGCCAGACUCUGCGCGAACAGGCGCUGCGCACCAACCGGCAGGCACCUGGCGGGCACCAUCGCACGGUGGCGCAGAAGCCCCUCAAUGGCCAGCGCCAGCUGCAGCCGCGGCCGCGCAGUCGUCCCACCUGAGCUUGGGCGAAUGUGGAUUGGGAAAGUCGACAUUAAUCAACUCAUUAUUCCUCAUAGAUUUGUAUUCUCCAGAGUAUCCAGGUCCUUCUCACAGAAUUAAAAAGACUGUACAGCUGGCAGCCUGUUAUCGAUUACAUUGAUAGUAAAUUUGAGGACUACCUAAAUGCAGAAUCAUGCGUGAACAGACAUCAGAUGCCUGAUAACAGGGUGCAGUGUUGUUCAUACUUCAUUGCUCCUUCAGGACAUGGAAUUGCUAAAGGACACAAGGAAAAUCACAGCAGCUUACUUUUUCCUCAACGGAUAUUUGGGCACCUUCACGAGUGUUAGAUACCAUGCUAGGUCCUGAGGAUACAGAUGAAUGAGACAAGGCCCUCACUGCGAAGAGUAUUUCAGUGAGAAGAUGGGAGAAACAAAUACAGAUGCUCUUCGACUUGGGACAGGGUUACAUUAACCCAUCACUUAAACCAUUGGAUAUUGAGUUUAUGAAGCGUUUGCAUGAAAAAGUGAGUAUCACCCCACUUAUUGCCAAAGCAGACACACUCACACCAGAGGAAUGCCAACAGUUUAAAAAACAGUGAAAAUAUCUAUAACCAGCAUCCAAGAGGGAUACUGUUGGUGAAACCUGCUUAGCCGAGGACUGGCUGUGUGUGUGCCUCCAGACCAAUCAUAUGUUUGUUUUGAGAUACAUUUUUUGGAGGAAGGUAACUUUUCCGGUCACACACAACAGACUGAUUUUCCUGUGGAAGACCUCACAGGAGUUCUCUUGAACCAGGAGACUAUUUUGAGCUGAAAUACCUGGAGCCCUCUCAAGCUAUUUGGGCCUUUCAAUUUGAAACCCAGGUUUGGAUGAUUCUAAGCUCUAUGGCAGAGACUGUAAUCAUUUUCUCUUCACCCUCAGGUUGGGGACUCACCCUCAGGGUUGGGAGUGACUGCUGUCUCUCCAGCCCCCACCAAUUACACCAUGUUCUGGUUGUUAAAAUCCAGUGUAUGCAUGAAAUGUAAUAAAAGUAUCUUCGCAGCAC
ensembl:lncRNA SEPTIN7P11 septin 7 pseudogene 11